AGUGCGUUGCACCUUGGGAUUCCUGAGAGUAUG
rnacentral:rRNA from 1 species